rnacentral:rRNA from 1 species
UACGUAGGGCGCAAGCGUUGUCCGGAAUUAUUGGGCGUAAAGAGCUCGUAGGCGGCUUGUCACGUCGAUUUGUGAAAGCCCCGAGGCUUAACCUCGGGUCUGCAGUCGAUACGGGCUAGCUAGAGUGUGGUAGGGGAGAUCGGAAUUCCUGGUGUAGCGGUGAAAUGCGCAGAUAUCAGGAGGAACACCGGUGGCGAAGGCGGAUCUCUGGGCCAUUACUGACGCUGAGGAGCGAAAGCGUGGGGAGCGAACAGG